UACGUAGGGGGCAAGCGUUGUCCGGAAUCAUUGGGCGUAAAGAGCGUGUAGGCGGCCAGGUAGGUCUGCUGUGAAAACUCGAGGCUUAACCUCGAGCUGUCGGCGGAAACCAUCUGGCUAGAGUCCGGAAGAGGAGAAUGGAAUUCCCGGUCGUAGCGGUGAAAUGCGCAGAUAUCGGGAAGAACACCCGUGGCGAAGGCGG
rnacentral:rRNA from 1 species